rnacentral:lncRNA from 1 species
AAAUUAAGGGGGGCAAGCUCCCUGUUAUAAUAAAUUACAUUCACAACACCUGAUGAGUGCCCUGAUGUUUGUAUCAUAAGAAUCAAUUACCGUAGAUAAGACAUUUACUGUACAUGUAGCUACAGUAACAUAGACAAAAUAAUUGAGAACCCAAAACAAGUGUCCUGCCCUCCACUGCCACUUUGCCACAAUUUCUAGAUGGAC